CUGCCCUCUAACUAUCAAAUUAUGGGCAAGAAUAUUUUUUCAUACACUGGUUUGUGAAUAAAAAUGUAGGUCUGAUGUUGACGUUAGAAAAACUGUUUCUAUUUAUAUUUUCAUAAUCGUCCUUGCAAUAGCGGGACUGUUAGAGGCUGGGGUUUUUGUAGAGAGCUGUUUUGUCCACCAGGGGGAGCCACAAGGAGGCUUCUGGAGGAGGAUGGUCACCGCGCACCUGUGUGUUAUCAGCCUCAUCAACACCAGCAUAAGAGGAGCGGGUGGCCAGUUCGCCGGCGCCUGAGUGUUAUACCUGUUUUGGAUUCCUCCCGUGGAACCGUCCCUCGGUCGACUAUGGUCCGAUUCCCUGCCCGCCCUCCGACGUGCCUCCCUUCGGCUACUCCCCGCCAUUGGAACCCCUCUCUUGUGCAAGAACCCGGACUCCAGCCUCUCUACGACCUACCUCCCUGGCGAAUCCUCUUCAUCUCUCCCAUCUUCAGAUCACUGACGCCCCUGAUCCAGUGGGGGCUCGAACUUACUCACAUUUCUCACUGUUGAUCUGUUCAUCAAUAAAUUUUAUUUAUCUGA